rnacentral:tRNA from 1 species
GCGGGUGUGGUGGAACUGGUAGACACACAAGACUUAAAAUCUUGAGGCCUUUGGCCGUGCCGGUUCAAGUCCGGCCACCCGCA